GACGAACGCUGGCGGCGUGCUUAACACAUGCAAGUCGAACGGAAAGGCCCUGCUUUUGUGGGGUGCUCGAGUGGCGAACGGGUGAGUAACACGUGAGUAACCUGCCCUUGACUUUGGGAUAACUUCAGGAAACUGGGGCUAAUACCGGAUAGGAGCUCCUGCUGCAUGGUGGGGGUGGGAAAGUUUCGGCGGUUGGGGAUGGACUCGCGGCUUAUCAGCUUGUUGGUGGGGUAGUGGCUUACCAAGGCUUUGACGGGUAGCCGGCCUGAGAGGGUGACCGGCCACCUUGGGACUGCGAUACGGCCCAGACUCCUACGGGAGGCAGCAGUGGGGAAUAUUGCCCAAUGGGCGGAAGCCUGAUGCAGCAACGCCGCGUGCGGGAUGACGGCCUUCGGGUUGUAAACCGCUUUCGCCUGUGACGAAGCGUGAGUGACGGUAAUGGGUAAAGAAGCACCGGCUAACUACGUG
rnacentral:rRNA from 1 species